rnacentral:rRNA from 1 species
UGGGGAAUUUUGGACAAUGGGGGGAACCCUGAUCCAGCAACGCCGCGUGAAUGAAGAAGGCUUUAGGGUUGUAAAGUUCUUUUAUAUGGGGACAAGUUAAGUAUGUUAAGAGCUAAUUUAAUUGAGGGUACCAUAUGAAUAAGCACCGGCUAACUACGUGCCAGCAGCCGCGGUAAUACGUAGGGUGCGAGCGUUAAUCGGAAUUACUGGGCGUAAAGGGUGCGCAGGCGGAUAUACAAGUUAGAUGUGAAAUACCUGGGCUCAACCUAGGAACUGCAUUUAAGACUGAAUAUCUAGAGUUAUGAAGAGGCGGGUAGAAUUCCAAGUGUAGCAGUGAAAUGCGUAGAGAUUUGGAGGAAUACCGAUGGCGAAGGCAGCCCGCUGGUCGAUAACUGACGCU